rnacentral:ncRNA from 2 species
CGAUGGGGUAGAGGAGCAGUCUUCAAGAGUACGCUGUGUAAGGAUGACAACGAUGAUCGCAGCUGAAAGGGAAGAAUUGCCGAAGUGAUAAUGAUCCGUCAAGGGCCUAUCACUGGGGUUAUCUUUAAGAAGGAUAACACUCUCAUUGCAGAAAAUUUUUGCAAUGAGGAGCUACAGAUCGU